rnacentral:rRNA from 1 species
CCUACGGGGGGCAGCAGUGGGGAAUAUUGCGCAAUGGGCGAAAGCCUGACGCAGCGACGCCGCGUGAGGGAUGAAGGUCUUCGGAUCGUUAACCUCUGUCAGCAGGGAAGAACGGUCACUGUGCUAAUCAGCAGUGAAUUGACGGUACCUGCAAAGGAAGCACCGGCUAACACCGUGCCAACAGCCGCGGUAAUACGGAGGGUGCGAGCGUUAAUCGGAAUUACUGGGCGUAAAGGGAGCGUAGGCGGUAUGUCAAGUCAAGGGUGAAAUCCCCGCGCUCAACGUGGGAACUGCCUUUGAAACUGGCAAACUGGAGUGUGUGAGAGGAUAGUGGAAUUCCAGGUGUAGGAGUGAAAUCCGUAGAUAUCUGGAGGAACAUCAGUGGCGAAGGCGACUAUCUGGCACAUAACUGACGCUGAGGAGCGAAAGCGUGGGUAGCAAACAGGAUUAGAUACCCGUGUAGUC